ACCUAUUCUGCCCCACAACCCCAGCUACCUAUUCUGCCCCACAACCCCAGCUACCUAUUCUGCCCCACAACCCCAGCUACCUAUUCUGCCCCACAACCCCAGCUACCUAUUCUGCCCCACAACCCCAGCUACCUGUUCUGCCCCACAACCCCAGCUACCUGUUUUGCCCCACAACCCCAGCUACCUGUUUUGCCCCACAACCCCAGCUACCUGUUUUGCCCCACAACCCCAGCUACCUGUUUUGCCCCACAACCCCAGCUACCUGUUUUGCCCCACAAACCCCAGACAUCUAUUCUGCCCCACAAACCCAGCCAUCUAUUCUGCCCCACAAACCCAGCCAUCUAUUCUGCCCCACAAACCCAGCUACCUAUUCUGCCCCACAACCCCAGCUACCUAUUCUGCUCCACAACCCCAGUUACCUGCUACCUAUUCUGCCCCACAAACCCAGCUACCUAUUCUGCUCCACAACCCCAGCCACCUGCUAAACUAUAGUACCUGUAGCUAUUCUACCAACUACUCUGCUACAGUAACUACAAACAGGAGGAUCUGUUUCUGUUAGCUUUGGAAGAGACUGGAGACAUGGAGAUGUAGGAAAGAGAUCUUCACAACAACGGAGCCUGUUUCUGUCCGUAUUGUUAGAUUUAACCUGUAGCCUGUAUGAGAGGACGGUUCAAGUCUGAAUGAUCAGAACAGGCACUGCUGUUGUCUGUUUCUCUGCUGCCUCUCCCUCACUCCCUCAUUCCCUCCUCUUCUCUCCCUCAUUCCCUCCUCUUCUCUUCCUCACUCCCUCCUCUUCUCUCCCCUCACUCCCUCCUCUUCUCUCCCCUCACUCCCUCCUCUUCUCUCCCCUCACUCCCUCCUCUUCUCUCCCCUCACUCCCUCCCUCCUCUUCUCUCCCCUCACUCCCUCCCUCCUCUUCUCUCCCCUCACUCCCUCCCUCCUCUUCUCUCCCCUCACUCACUCACUCCCUCCAAUUCUCUCCCCUCACUCACUCACUCCCUCCAAUUCUCUCCCCUCACUCACUCCCUCCUCUUCUCUCUCUCAUCCUCAGACUACUCAGUACGCUACAGAGAUUACAUAGACUAACUCUUCUUCUCUGAUGCCUUGUGUGACUUUUAAGAAUGUACUUAAAAGCAGCCAUUUUCUUUUCGGUUAGCGUGUGUUUCUGAGGGAAUGGUUUUCAUGUUUUCGGUUAGCGUGUGUUUCUGAGGGAAUGGUUUUCAUGUUUUCGGUUAGCGUGUGUUUCUGAGGGAAUGGUUUUCAAUGCUUUCGGUUAGCGUGUGUUUCUGAGGGAAUGGUUUUCAAUGCUUUCAGUUAGCAUGUGUUUCUGAGGGAAUGGUUUUCAAUGUUUUCAGUUAGCCUGUGUUUCUGAGGGAAUGGUUAAAAAAACAGACUUCAGAUUCAAAUGUAACGACUCCAUUUCUAGCAUGGUUCAUGUGCACAAACACUUUUUUUUUUUUUUUUUUUAGAUCAGCUGCAGCGAUAUAACCUCUUCUGAAAGCUCUUGAGACUAAACUGUAUUUGGAAGUAGAUCCACAGUUUCAGAAUUCAUCUUUAUAUUGAUUGAUACAAUAUUAUGUCAGCAGCUCAACCCAUGUUUCCUUAUUCCAGAAGUGAUCGGGGGAAAUGGUUCUGUCUUUAUCAUGCGUUUAGUCUAUUUAAGAUGUUUUGUAUGUCAGAUUUGGAAUGAAAGUUUAAGAUAUGGAGUGAAUCCCGAAUGGCACCAUACUCCCUUUAUUAGUGCACUACUAUAUAGCCCUGUAGGGUUCUGGUGAAAAGUAGUGCACUAUAUAGGGAAUAGGGUGCCAUUUUGGGAUGCAUACAUUAAUAUAUGUCACAGUUGUAUCCUCGCAACAUUGUAAUUAAAUACGUGAAGCAUCAGCCAACCACCCAUCUGUUUGUUAUUGAAGGUCUAGCUAGCUAUACUCAACCAACCACCCAUCUGUUAUUGAAGGUAUAUAGCUAGCUAUACUCAACCAACCGCCCAUCUGUUUGUUAUUGAAGGUCUAGCUAGUGUCGUGUCUUUGGCUAUGCCGGAUUAAGUGAUAUGACAUGCUAACUUAUAAAAUGAUUUCUCUGUAAUUAAUAUUACCUGAUUAAGCUAAUCAUGUAAAUGUAAUUAACUAGAAAGUCGGGGCACCACGGAAGAACGUUUAUAGAGCUGUUAUCUUCCGAAUAAACUCUUAAAAUACUUAGUAAUAUUUUACCUCGAUAGCAGUCAAUAUUAACCCUUGUCUUAUUUUCAGUCUCAUAAUGAAAGUUGUAAGUUCUUGGCUAUCUUCACGAACCCUGGCUAACAAGUUGAAUCAGCAAUACAAAAUUGGGUUUAAUUAUUUAUUUACUAAAUACCUAACUAAUCACACAGAAUUACAAAUACACAGAAUACAAUGUCGUCAUACAGAAAACGUCCCGGUAGACGGAACAGAUAUGACGGCUGGUUACACAAAGGAAAGGGGUUGGGCUUGAAUGAAAGAGCGGGAAGAUUUAGGAACAGAGAAACAGCAGCUAUGCUAUCGUAAAUACAUUAUCUUAUGCAUUCUAAAUUACCGCCCAUUUGGAAAAGGAAAAUGCAAUAAAUAUUUACUCUGAGCUGCGCUUCGGUAGAUUGGUCGUAGAUGCUGGCCGGGUUGGCCAACAGAUCUUCCUGUUACUCGGAAGAAUGUCUCUGGUGGUCAAUUGGAUACGUGGUGGUAUCUUCGUCGGUCUGUUAGACUAGAUCCGUCGUCCGUCCUUUCCUAGCCCACGUUACAGCGGCCGCUGCUAACUCAACGGCUAGGAAGUAGCACUUCUGUAGUGAAUAAGCUCAAAGUUCAUACCAGUUCAUACCAUAGCUCACGCCGAGGUUGGCUUAGUUGACAUGUGUGUCCUUCUAACGUAGAGGCUGCAGGCCUCUCGUACUGGAACUACCUGGUUAUCUUUUCGUCAAAGGAUUAUAUAGUGGGGAGGGGGAGGGAGGUGUUUCAUCGUUUAUAACCCCUGUCUCUUCACAGGGUUGGGUUACUGAUCGAGCAGGGCACUUUCCUUAUGAAAACCCAAAUCUCUCCUUCGGAAGCUAAAAUUACAUUUCAUCUCCUAACAAACAUUUUCAAUAUCAAACAUUUCAAUUGCAUAACAAUUCCAUGUGACUCUGAUAACUAGAGGGUGUAUACUUUCUCAGAUACAGUUUAUGUCGUCCUGUCAUCAGUCAUAAUGUCUCAGAUGACAACCGAACUGACAUACAUACUCAUUACGUUCCCAAGCAUAUUUCCAACUGGUUUUAUUAACAAAAUAUGUGGUACCUUUCCACAUUUGUUUGAUGUUCCCAGACUCUCUAUAUUUAACAGGACAGCAGUCCUUCAGUAGGGUCAGUAAGAGAGGGGAAGGGGGAAAGGUAUUUAUGGGGGGGGGGUCAUAAACCUUACCCACAGGCCAACGUCAUGACACUAGCUACACUCAACCAACCGCCCAUCUGUUAUUGAACAUCUAGCUAGCUAUACUCAACCAACCACCCAUCUCUUAUUGAACUACUAGCUAGCUAUACUCAACCAACCGCCCAUCUGUUAUUGAACGUCUAGUUGGCUAUACUCAACCAACCGCCCAUCUGUUUGUUAUUGAAGGUCUAGCUAGCUACACUCAACCAACCGCCCAUCUGUUAUUGAACCUCUAGCUAGCUAUACUCAACCAACCACCCAUCUGUUAUUGAAGGUCUAGCUAGCUAUACUCAACCAACUGCCCAUCUGUUUGUUAUUGAAGGUCUAGCUAGCUACAGUAUACUCAGCCUGUUGCACCAUCUCACUGUUUUACCUUCAAAACAUUGGUACCAUUAUAUAAACAGACAGUAUGAACAUUUUGUUUCUUAUUUUAUUGUGCAAAUCAAAUCAGUAUAUCAGUAUUGCAUGAAUUGAUUAAUAAACAUGACUUUACACUCAUAUGUAUUAUUUGGUAGGUGUCAUUUUAAUGUCUUGGAUGCCAUGGUUUGUAAUCAAACAAUCAAAUGUUAUUUUUUUCUUAUUUUUUUUUUUUU
rnacentral:lncRNA from 1 species